CCCACCUGACUCCAUUCCGAACUCAGAAGUGAAACGAAAUAGCGCCGAUGGUAGUGUGGGGCUUCCCCAUGUGAGAGUAGGACAUCGCCAGGC
rnacentral:rRNA from 1 species